UACAGAGGUCUCAAGCGUUGUUCGGAGUUACUGGGCGUAAAGAGUGCGUAGGCGGUCCUGUAAGUUUGGUGUGAAAUCUCCCGGCUCAACUGGGAGGGUGCGCCGAAGACUGCAGGGCUUGAGUAUGGGAGAGGUAAGCGGAAUUCCUGGUGUAGCGGUGAAAUGCGUAGAUAUCAGGAGGAACACCUGUGGUGUAGACAGCUUACUGGACCAUAACUGACGCUGAGGCACGAAAGCGUGGGUAGCAAACAGG
rnacentral:rRNA from 1 species